GACGAACGCUGGCGGCGUGCUUAACACAUGCAAGUCGAACGGAAAGGCCCUGCUUGCAGGGUGCUCGAGUGGCGAACGGGUGAGUAACACGUGGGUGAUCUGCCCCUUAUUUUGGGAUAAGCCUGGGAAACUGGGUCUAAUACUGGAUAGGACCAUGCUGUAGGUGGUGUGGUGGAAAGAUUAGUUUCGGUAAGGGAUGAGCUCGCGGCCUAUCAGCUUGUUGGUGGGGUAAUGGCCUACCAAGGCGUCGACGGGUAGCCGGCCUGAGAGGGUGGACGGCGACAUUGGGACUGAGAUACGGCCCAGACUCCUACGGGAGGCAGCAGUGGGGAAUAUUGCACAAUGGGCGCAAGCCUGAUGCAGCGACGCCGCGUGGGGGAUGACGGCGUUCGGGUUGUAAACUCCUUUCAGCCAUGACGAAGCCCUUGUGGUGACGGUAGUGGUAGAAGAAGCACCGGCUAACUACGUG
rnacentral:rRNA from 1 species